rnacentral:lncRNA from 1 species
AAACACGCACGCGCAAUCAUCUUGGUACCAGGGCCUGUCUCGGAAGCAGCGUCCGCUAGGGAGAUGCGAGUGCAAACCGCUCAGCAGGGACAAGAUCCCGGGAAACACGGGUCGGGGGGACAGUCCGUGCGGGCUGUGCCUGUCCACAGCUCGUGCCGCGGGCAGGGCCGACUGCACUGCUCCAGGCCCUCCGGGAGACGGCGCCCCCUCCGCGGGGCUUCUCCACCCACGCCCAGCCAUCCCUGCUGGAAGGAUGAUCCGAGACCGGCCUGUGGUCACUCCCCCUUCAAGUCUCCUGUGGCCUCUCUAACGAACCGGGGGCUUCGACAGCAGACACUUACGGCGUCCCAGCCUGGAGGCCGGAAGCCCCAGAUCCAAGCAGGGGCAGGGCUGGGGCCUUCUGAAGCUGGGGCAGGGAGGGGGCUGAAUCUGCGCCGCGCCUCUCUCCUGGCGUCCGGGGCUGUGCUCCCACCGCUGUGUCCGGAUCUCACGCCUUGUGAGGACACGUUCAUCUCGGCUGAGGGCCGACGGCAGUGUCCACAUCUGAACUCUGUAUCUGCAAAGUGCCAACUUCCGCAGGGGUGGGGUGGGGGGGGUGUUGGGGCUCCCACAUCUUUCGUGGGGGGCACCGUUCAACUCACAACAAACCCCCACCCCCACCCUCCAGCUCUUCCAGCCAUGCCCAGGCCAGUGAGGAAAACCCUGCACCGAGUUUCCGUUGUCACAGGGCUAGAACACAAGCUCCAUGGGGAGCACCACCACCACCCCCGAUCCUAGUUUGCCCAGGACCAAGGAGCGUCCUGGGACACCGGACAUUUGGUCACUCCAGCUGCAUGAAAGCAAGGACUCGGUCUGUUUUGUUCACGGCUGUAUGUCCAGAGCUCCAGGGCCUGACACAGAGCAGACCUUAAAUAAACGUUAAUUGAGCGAAAACAAGGACAAACAAAUGCAUGAACGAGGUUGUCCCCUGUCUGCAAUCCUACAACAUAACCGACAGCCUGCAGUAGAUUCUUCCAUGCUUUGAGCACACAUAAUAUAGAGGUUCUUUUUCCUCAAAAGAAAAAGGAAAAAAAGGAAUCACAGGCAUGAAUCAGCGAUUUGCUUUAUCACUUAUCAACAUAUAGUACAACUCUUGGAUCACUACAUAGAGAUCUGCCUAAUUCUUCUUAACUGGCUCAGGAUGUCCACAAUACUGAAUGGGCCAUAACCAUAAUGUAUCCUAUUAUUCACCUAUGGGUAACGUUAUGUUUCCAAUGACCACCAGGGGACACGAUGCACAAAUAAAAUAUCUUUGCACACAGAUUUUAAGAUUUUGGCCAUUUCAUUUCUAUUAGAUAGGUUCCUAAAGGUCAAGGGGACUGAGGGUUUGUAAUUUAAACAGACAUCAGGGCUGACCUUAGGUAGGACAACGCAGAGAAAGGUCACAGAGCCCAUCAUAGCCAGGCUGUGAAGGAAGAG